GACGAACGCUGGCGGCGUGCCUAAUACAUGCAAGUCGAACGCUUUUUCUUUCACCGGAGCUUGCCCCACCGAAAGAAAAAGAGUGGCGAACGGGUGAAUAACACGUGGGUAACCUGCCCAUCAGAAGGGGAUAACACUUGGAAACAGGUGCUAAUACCGUAUAACACUAUUUUCCGCAUGGAAGAAAGUUGAAAGGCGCUUUUGCGUCACUGAUGGAUGGACCCGCGGUGCAUUAGCUAGUUGGUGAGGUAAAGGCUAACCAAGGCAACGAUGCAUAGCCGACCUGAGAGGGUGAUCGGCCACACUGGGACUGAGACACGGCCCAGACUCCUACGGGAGGCAGCAGUAGGGAAUCUUCGGCAAUGGACGAAAGUCUGACCGAGCAACGCCGCGUGAGUGAAGAAGGUUUUCGGAUCGUAAAACUCUGUUGUUAGAGAAGAACAAGGAUGAGAGUAAAACGUUCAUCCCUUGACGGUAUCUAACCAGAAAGCCACGGCUAACUACGUGCCAGCAGCCGCAGUAA
rnacentral:rRNA from 1 species